GACGAACGCUGGCGGCGUGCCCAACACAUGCAAGUCGAACGGAGAUACGAUUUCGGUUGUAUCUUAGUGGCGAACGGGUGAGUAACGCGUGAGCAACCUGACUCUUAGAGGGGGAUAACACCCGGAAACGAGUGCUAAUACCGCAUAAGACCACGACAUGGCAUCAUGACGAGGUCAAAGGAGCAAUCCGCUGAGAGAGGGGCUCGCGUCCCAUUAGAUAGAUGGCGGGGUAACGGCCCACCAUGUCAACGAUGGGUAGCCGAGCUGAGAGGCUGAUCGGCCACACUGGAACUGAGACACGGUCCAGACUCCUACGGGAGGCAGCAGUGGGGAAUAUUGGGCAAUGGGCGCAAGCCUGACCCAGCAACGCCGCGUGAGGGAAGAAGGCUUUCGGGUUGUAAACCUCUGUCCUUGGUGACGAAACAAAUGACGGUAGCCAAGGAGGAAGCCCCGGCUAACUACGUGCCAGCCGCCGCAGUAA
rnacentral:rRNA from 1 species